AGCGAACGCUGGCGGCAGGCCUAACACAUGCAAGUCGAACGAACCUUUCGGGGUUAGUGGCGGACGGGUGAGUAACACGGGGGAACGUGCCGUUAGGUUCGGAAUAACUCAGGGAAACGUGUGCUAAUACCGAAUGUGCCCUUCGGGUGAAAGAUUUAUCGCCUUUAUAGCGGCAGGCGUCUGUUUAGCUAGUUGGUUGAGGUAAUGGCGCACCAAGGCGACGAUCAUUAGCUGGUCUGAGAGGAUGAUCAGACACAUUGGGACUGAGACACGGCCCAAAAUCUUACGCGAGGCAGCAGUGGGGAAUCUUGCGAAAUGGGCGAAAGCCUGACGCAGCCAUGCCGCGUGAAUGAUGAAGGUCUUAGGAUUGUAAAAUUCUUUAACCGGGGACGAUAAUGACGGUACCCGGAGAAGAAGCCCCGGCUAACUUCGUG
rnacentral:rRNA from 1 species